CCCCAUCCCCACAACCCUUGGUGCGCCAAAAUCCUUCAAAUGUCCACGCCCUUGGUGUUAAUCGUGAUUGCUAUUGAUUGCGAGCUGUUAAUCCUUAGUGCGUACAGGGUCAUGUGGAGGCGAAUGAUUGGGAAUUUUGGUCUUGGUGAUUUUCUACACUGGAUCUGUCUGAUUGUUCCGACUCAGGCAGUAAAAUACUGCAUAGGGGCUGCUAUGCCAUGGGCAAAUGAGGGCACACCUAUAUUAACAGGCCAUUUGAGAUUGUUAGUGCUGAUUGCCUUUAGGUAUCAUGUAGUUGUCUGCAUAUGAGGACCUACAAACAAUAAAGUCCAUGGGGUUCAGAAGGGAGGCUUUGGCCAGUUUGACUUAUGUUGGCCAUGUUACCGUGACAACAAUAACAGAAGGCCAAUUGCAUGGCUACAGAGUUUCUUAUAGGGAUGGAGUAAUGGAGAAUGACCCGAAGCCCUGUUCUGCGGUUAAAGGAACUCAAGUCAUGGUUGAAAAUUUAUUUUACAAUAUGGUAGGAAAACACUGCAGAACUCCAGCGAUGACUAUCCAAAGAUAGUGGACUUCAUCAGUCGGUUUACGGUCCAUCACAUCAAUGUGAACUUCUCUUGCAGAAAGCAUGGAGUCAAUAGAGCAGAUGUUCACAGUGGGAGCAUGUCUUCAAGGCUAGAUGCUAUUAGGAAUGUCUAUGGGGCUUCGGUUGUUCGCGAUCUGGUGGCACUAACCUCCAGCGCUUACUCAAGCUAACACACUAAAGGAUAUGGGUACCGAGGUCAGCACCCCUACUGGAGAAAAAUCUCAAAAGGUUCCUGUGAGCCAAAUGGUCAGAACUGAUCCACGCGAUCCAUCUGGAAGGUUGCACACCUAUUGGCAAGGUCAAUCUUCAAAUCUAGAAAAGAAAUCUGACCUUGUUUCAGUAAGAAAUGUUGUAAGAUCAAGGAGAAAUCCAAAAGAUGCUGGUGAUUUGUCCAGUCGCCAUGAGCUUCUUACAGAAAUAGAUCCUAACUUACAUCCCGGCCUUUUUGAUAUUUUUAAGAAUUGCACACUUAUGUUGGAGUUGCCAAUGAAGUUUUAGCUUUGAUACAGCACAAUGCCCUCUUAUACCUUGUCAACGUGGUGAACACUGAGAUACUGAAAGAAAAUGCUGAGAUGAUUAAUGAGUACUUCUCUAUUCACAUCGAUCAAGAUGGCAACCUGGCCAGACUUCCUGUUGUACUUGAUCAGUACACCCCUGAUAUGGAUCGCCUUCCAGAGUUCAUGUUGACUCUAGUAAAUGAUAUUUCCUGGGACGUUGAGAAAGAGUGCUUCAGAACGGCAGCAGCUGCUAUUGGAAACUUCUAUGCACUUCAUCCUCCCAUCGUUCCAAAUCCAUCUGGCAAAGGCAUUCAGUUACAAAAGAAAAAUAAAGAUUGCAUGGAAACUGCUGAACAGGCUGUUAGUACAGAUGAAGACGACAUUGAUCAAGAGCUGCUUGCGGAAGCAGAAGCCACAUGGGCUCAACGUGAGUGGACCAUCCAGCACGUCUUGUUUCCUUCCAUUCGGCUUUUCCUCAAGCCUCCGAAGUCGAUCGCGGCAGAUGGGACGUUUGUUCAGGUUGCUUCUCUAGACAAACUCUACAAGAUCUUGGAGAGAUGCUAGUUGACACAGGCCGGCCAUCACAAGAUAGAGAAGGAAGGGAGUCUAGCGCCUUGCUGGUUCCUUCUGGGACAUGUGUGUGUAUAAUGGUUUCACCGUCUACCGUAUUCUCUAGGUAGUGUUGUAAUAUUUUUUUUUUUUUUGGAAGAAAGAGCAAAACUGAGCUCCAGUUCUGGAUUGAAAUACCAAAUAAACGCCAGAAUAUUUUGGCUCUGCUAUGCUUAUGACCUGUUAGAUAGACU